GCUUCUUCCAUGUUUAUGGACUAGUUCUAUUCCAAAAAGAGAAAUUUUUUCCUCAUGAACUGGGGAUGAACUAUGAUAGUUCUACCUAAAGUGCAUGAAAAACAUUUAGCUGUCACCAGUAACGAUGUCAAAGGAUGUGCUUUCUCCACCCACCCCAGCUUCACAUCGCCAUAAACACAUGGCUUUUUAUGGACCCAAUAAAAUACAAUGCUCAGAGUCAGGAUCAACAUCAGAAUCCACUCAUGGAUUUACAUCUGCUGGAUGCACAGGGCUUCCGGAGCACUAAACUGUUUCCUAGUGUUAUUACGGCUUUGCAUGCUGGGGUUGAAAAUUAACUCAUCACAUGGAGUAGAAUGUCUUAAGGCCAUGGAGUGAGGAAGGGAGGACCAACUUGAAGAAAUCACAGAAGACAGGAGACUCAACCCAAUAUCCAUCCUGUGACAACUGGACCUUCACAUAAAUAGAUUAAUGGUACCAGCUUGAGGAGAGUCCAUAGCUGUGGAACACUCUUCACAGAAAGACCCUGGCUUAGAACUGCUUAUGAGACACACUCAGAAUCAAAGGCAUUGUUAUGAGGCCCCUGUCCCUGAAGGAUGUUCUGUAACCCAUGCAGAACUCUGUGGUACAAAAUAGAAAUGUACAAACAAAAAUGAUUCAUGAGAAAAAUUAUCUCUACCCAUUGAGGAAAUAAUCUCUUAAAUGAUAAAAAUUUAAACAGUUUUGAUAAAGUCCAAUUUAUCUAUUUUUUUCUUUCUUGGCUCAUGGUUUCCAUCUUUUACCUAUAAAAUAUUUGCCCCCUAAGUAAAAACAAAAUGCUCCAGAGAGACUUCAUCAAUUCAGUCCUAACAUCACAUGUCAAAAAAGCGAAUAUGGGACCUGUGAAACUGUACUCCGUGUUUUGGUACUAUUCCUGAUUUGAUUGAUCAUAUUCUUGAAUUAUUAAUUAAGCUUGAUAUUGGAUUAGAUUUCUGAUCAACAUGAGUCCGAAUCGACACACAAUACUUUGUGCUAAGUGUAAAAUUUCUGCCAAAUGAUUUUUCAGCUUGUAGAGAUGUUAGUAUAAAGUUAAAUCAACUUUGCAUUGCUGAGAAAAAAACUAUACUUGGUCAUAGCAUAUUAAAACUUUUAUAUAUUAUUGGGUUUAA